GAUGAACGCUGGCGGCGUGCCUAAUACAUGCAAGUCGAGCGAACGGACGAGAAGCUUGCUUCUCUGAUGUUAGCGGCGGACGGGUGAGUAACACGUGGAUAACCUACCUAUAAGACUGGGAUAACUUCGGGAAACCGUAGCUAAUACCGGAUAAUAUUUUGAACCGCAUGGUUCAAAAGUGAAAGACGGUCUUGCUGUCACUUAUAGAUGGAUCCGCGCUGCAUUAGCUAGUUGGUAAGGUAACGGCUUACCAAGGCAACGAUGCAUAGCCGACCUGGGAGGGGGAUCGGCCACAAUGGAACUGAGACACGGUCCAGACUCCUACGGGAGGCAGCAGUAGGGAAUCUGCCGCAAGGGGCGAAAGCCUGACGGAGCAACGCCGCGUGAGUGAUGAAGGUCUGCGGAUCGUAAAACUCUGUUAUUAGGGAAGAACAUAUGUGUAAGUAACUGUGCACAUCUUGACGGUACCUAAGCAGAAAGCCACGGCUAACUACGU
rnacentral:rRNA from 1 species